AUUGAACGCUGGCGGCAGGCUUAACACAUGCAAGUCGAGCGGGGUGAUGGUGCUUGCACUAUCACUUAGCGGCGGACGGGUGAGUAAUGCUUAGGAAUCUGCCUAUUAGUGGGGGACAACAUCUCGAAAGGGAUGCUAAUACCGCAUACGUCCUACGGGAGAAAGCAGGGGAUCACUUGUGACCUUGCGCUAAUAGAUGAGUCUAAGUCGGAUUAGCUAGUUGGUGGGGUAAAGGCCUACCAAGGCGACGAUCUGUAGCGGGUCUGAGAGGAUGAUCCGCCACACUGGGAAUGAGACACGGCCCAGACUCCUACGGGAGGCAGCAGUGGGGAAUAUUGAACAAUGGGGGGAACCCUGAUCCAGCCAUGCCGCGUGUGUGAAGAAGGCCUUAUGGUUGUAAAGCACUUUAAGCGAGGAGGAGGCUCUUUUGGUUAAUACCCAAGAUGAGUGGACGUUACUCGCAGAAUAAGCACCGGCUAACUCUGUGCCAGCCGCCGCAGUAA
rnacentral:rRNA from 1 species